GGGGCGGAGCCAUCCUGGAAGCGCGAAUCUGGUACCGGGACUUGGGGAGCGAGGGAUGCAACAUGGUGCAUCUGGGAGGCCUGCUAACUGGCUAACUUCUCCGGCGUUCCUCCCGGCCGAGGCGUGGGCACAGAAUAGCGCAGGUGAGGCCCAGAUAUGGUGUCUCGAUACGGCGCGGAAGUUUGAAGACAUCAUUUUCCAGUUUUGGAGCCGACUAAUGAACUAGUUCUUAAGUGAAAGGCAUUUAACACGACUGUGCAUCUACAGGUACUAGGUUUCCAAGAUGCCUUUCCAGACUAAAACCCACACAUGUGAGCCGCUGGCCGGACAAACAUCUGGCACCUAACGUGGGGCUGAAAAACAGCAGAGGACAUUUGGAAGAAACACUGCUGGUUUGGAGCUCCAUAGAAGAAGAAAAUAAUUAAAGGAAAUUCAUACCAGAGAAGAACACCCCAGUGAUGGCUAUUCUUGGUCAUAAACUUCACUACAUAUGGAAAUACUAAAACCCAAUCCAUUGGGGUCCAAACCAAUGGAGGGAUCGUUCUUGAUUGGAUCAUUCAAGAUGGAAAGACCCACCUUAAAUCUGGAUCAUUUGACCUGGAUCAGAAGAUCCACUCUAAAUAUGGGCCACACCUUCUAGAGACAAUGUAUAUAAAAGAACAGAGAAAAAAGCCCUUGUUUUUGCCUGCUUCCCUUCACUCUGACUGACAAAUUCACCCAUUCUGCUGCUGAGGCAUUCCUUCACUGGUAUUAGAAGCCACUUCUUCAGGAUUCCAAUGUAGACUGAAGACCAGCUGAGACAUCCAGCCCCAUGGAUCAAACAAUUAUUGGAUUCUUGGACUAUCGUAUCAGACUAGACAGACUAGAGACUUUAAGCCUCUCUAAUAAAUUGUACAUACAGAGAUAGAGAUAGAUAGAUAGAUAGAUAGAUAGAUAGAUAGAUAGAUAGAUAGAGUGUGCAUUCGUGUGUGUGUGUGUGUGUGUGUGUGUGUGUGUGUGUGUUGUCAUUGCUCUUAUUACCCAGGACUUGAUGGUAAAAUGGUAAGACACUAUUGCUGAAGACACCACAUACAUAGACAUGGAGAAACAAGUUGGUUCUUGCCUAAAGUUUUCAUCCCUACUGUCUAGUUUUCAUGGUGCUAAAGAAUAAUAGAAACCAGGCUUACUCA
rnacentral:lncRNA from 1 species